rnacentral:rRNA from 1 species
AUACGAAAGGUGCAAGCGUUGUUCGGAUUUACUGGGCGUAAAGAGAGUGUAGGUUGUUUAUUAAGUCGGAUGUGAAAUCCCGGGGCUCAACCUCGGAACUGCAUUCGAUACUGAUAGGCUAGAGUUUGGGAGGGGUAAGCGGAAUUCCGUGUGUAGCAGUGAAAUGCGUAGAUAUACGGAGGAACACCUGAGGCGAAGGCAGCUUACUGGACCAAUACUGACACUGAGACUCGAAAGCGUGGGGAGCAAACAGGAUUAGAAACCCUAGUAGUCC